UAAAUACACCAUGAAAACAAAUAUUAGUAUCUUAAGCAAGAAUUCACAUGGAUAUUAUUUUUAAUUAAUUUGCUUGGAAAUAGUGCAUCGAUUCUUAGAAAUUGAUAUAAUUCUAUUUACGAAUUAAAAUGAGUUAGUACGAAUGAAUGCACCUAUAAAAUCUAUGGAUCAUAGGUAAAGAAGGGAUUUUCAUCUAUGGCCUUCCGACUCGAUUCACCAUUCUAGACUAAUCUUCAUCUUGAUUCUUGUCUUCUGUCAUCAAGUUGAAAAUUCACCAUUUUUGCUGUUCGUAAACGGGAACGACGCCUGAAGGCUUGCUUUGAGAUAACAUCCUUGGAUUAGAUGGGCAAACUAUUUACAGAUGUGAUGUUUCUGGCAGUCAAACAUACUUUUAUUUCUAAGAAUGCUGAUCAAAAAAUACGUAGAACAGGACGUUAAUGGUGGUUUCUAAUAAAACGUAAUAAAUUGACAUUGAGAGAGUAAAUCAGAAGGGGGAAGAAGUAGAUCCCGUUCAUGCUUCUUUCUAUUGGCUUUGGAAAUGGGUCGUUUGUGGAAAGUCUAAGGAAUCUUUAAUUAUUUUAUGGAGAAUGGUUUGACAAUAAUUAUUGUUAUAAUUUCUUACUCUUUUGAAUUGUAUCGGUUAAUUAGUUAUGAUUUUAACACAUGAAACGAACAAGGUGAAAAAAUAAGGAUUGUAAACCUGGAGGAGUGGAGCCCCUUGGACCUGAAAGGUGCAAUUUUUAGAAAUAUGUGCAGUCCAAUUGACACAGAUGUAUAUAAAGUUACACAUGUGAUGUCUUCUAGUAUGUGGCUCAUUUCAUCAUGUGUGGUAUUAUUUCCCUUUCACAAGCAUCUAUUUGGAGGCACUUCUCUUUUGUUAACGCCUAGGAGUAAAACUGGAGCACCAUAGAAUAUACUUGAAAUCGUCCAACAGAUGAGAGAAAAUUGAAGUUCAGGUUGAUCAUAUUGAGGCAACUAAUAACUGGUGUUGUCUUUCUUGGACUGUAUUCUGGAUUUGCUGUUUUCAUCUUCACCUUGCAACAUUAUGCAGUUAAUUUUCAACAGAUAAGUGAGAAGAAGAGGAGAUUUACUUGAAUUCCACUAAAAGAGCAAGUUUUCUUUGGCAUUCCUUCUGGAUUUAGUCUGCAUUUCACACCUGCAAACUUUGGAUUGUUAAAGUCUACAAUUAAUUAAGAUCGACGUUGGAGAAGACAAAGAUGACCCCGUAG